rnacentral:rRNA from 1 species
CAUGUAGGCGGUUAUGUAAGUGUGGAUUUAAAGGCGGAGGCUUAACCUCUAGUUUGGUCUGCAAACUGCGUAGCUUGAGUGUAGAAGGGGAAACUGGAAUUCCGCGUGUAGGGGUGAAAUCUGUAGAUAUGCGGAAGAAUACCUGUGGCGAAGGCGAGUUUCUGGUCUAUAACUGACGCUGAAAUGCGAAAGUGUGGGUAGCAAACAGGAUUAGAUACCCUGGUAGUCCACACUGUAAACGAUGUACACUAGGUGUUAGAGGGUUAAACUUCUAGUGCCGAAGCUAACGCGAUAAGUGUACCGCCUGGGGAGUAUGCUCGCAAGGGUGAA